GAUGAACGCUGGCGGCGUGCCUAAUACAUGCAAGUCGAGCGAACGGACGAGAAGCUUGCUUCUCUGAUGUUAGCGGCGGACGGGUGAGUAACACGUGGAUAACCUACCUAUAAGACUGGGAUAACUUCGGGAAACCGGAGCUAAUACCGGAUAAUAUUUUGAACCGCAUGGUUCAAAAGUGAAAGACGGUCUUGCUGUCACUUAUAGAUGGAUCCGCGCUGCAUUAGCUAGUUGGUAAGGUAACGUCUUACCAAGGCAACGAUGCAUAGCCGACCUGAGAGGGUGAUCGGCCACACUGGAACUGAGACACGGUCCAGACUCCUACGGGAGGCAGCAGUAGGGAAUCUUCCGCAAUGGGCGAAAGCCUGACGGAGCAACGCCGCGUGAGUGAUGAAGGUCUUCGGAUCGUAAAACUCUGUUAUUAGGGAAGAACAUAUGUGUAAGUAACUGUGCACAUCUUGACGGUACCUAAUCAGAAAGCCACGGCUAACUACGUA
rnacentral:rRNA from 1 species